CGCGGUGAGAGGCGAAAAACGCCGUUUUUUGGAGUUACAAAACGUCGUGUAACUCAAAAACUAGGAGGGCUAGCAGCAUAAUUCUUGUACUGGGUGAAUCAGCGGACUUUGGUGUACUUUGACUGCGAUUUUCAGUGCUCUAUGUACCUCCGUCGCGGAGAUAUGACGAGAGAAGAAACGGCUUCAUUUUCGGAGUUUGUAAACUAAGACGAGGACAGAUUUCCACCCCUCAAACAAACGUAAUUCAUUGCUCAACGAAACGGUCAGCAUCCUGACAGCCCGAUGGACGAAGCUGUCUCUCAGUCUGUGUGUUCUGGCCAGGAGGCUCUUCAGUAUCCUUCCUGAUGGCAGCAAACUGAAGACGCUGUUGAAGGGAUGAGAGGAGUCACCUGUAAUGGAGAGGACCUUCCAGAUUCCCCGGACCCGUCCCCGUGUUUCCCCGCGUGGAGUGUGGAAGGAGUGACUGGUCGCUAACGGAGAAGAGAGAGGUUGAACUGAGCGCGUGUAUGAUUUCCCCGUUUUCCCUGGAGCCCUGGACCCCUGCCCCUCACGUCUUGUAUAUAGCACUAACCCCGCACUGUCUGUACACACACUUGGUGAAGAUCUGUAAAUAAACUGUCUCUGUUUAAACGCUACUCAGGAGUCCUGCGAGUGGAUCCUCUAAGCAACCCGUGACACCUGGUCUCUGUGACAUCAUCGAUGCAUUUUGGGAUGUUGGCAAUAACAGUUUCUGUAUAUUCCUGAAAGUCUGUGGUGUUGUCGUGUGUGGCAGCCUGUGGUGGAAAAGCAGUCUUGCAGUGCCUCUGAGGACCCUUCUAGCCUCACCUGUACCUGCUUACGAACUGGUUUGGUGACUUUGACCAGGGGCCUGUGGGAACCCAUGGCACACCUAGGUUUCUGCCUGUAGUACUGACCCUUAUGCAAAAUAGGU
ensembl:lncRNA